GACGAACGCUGGCGGCGUGCCUAAUACAUGCAAGUCGAGCGAACAGACAAGGCGCUUGCUCCUUUCACGUUAGCGGCGGACGGGUGAGUAACACGUGGGUCACCUACUUAUAAUACUGGAAUAACUCCGGGAAUCCGGGGCUAAUGCCGGAUAACAUUCAGAACCGCAUGGGUCUAAAGUGAAAGAUGGUGGUGCGAUCACUUAUAGGUGGACCCGCGCUGUAUUAGCUAGUUGGUAAGGUCACGGCUUACCAAGGCAACGAUACGUAGCCGAACUGAGAGGGUGAUCGGCCACCCUGGAGCGGAGCCGCGGUCCAGAGUACUGCGGGAGGGACCAGUAGGCAAUGUGACGCAAUGGGGGAGAGCCUGACGGAGUGACGCCACGUGAGAGAUGAAGGUCUUCGGUGCGUAAUGCUGGGUUUUUGGGGAAAAACAAAUGUGUAAGUAGCUGUGCAGAUCUUGACGGUACCUGAUCAGAAAGCACCGGCUAACUACGUG
rnacentral:rRNA from 1 species